CCUACGGGGGGCAGCAGUGAGGAAUAUUGGUCAAUGGACGAGAGUCUGAACCAGCCAAGUAGCGUGAAGGAUGACUGCCCUAUGGGUUGUAAACUUCUUUUAUAUGGGAAUAAAAUGUUCCACGUGUGGGAUUUUGUAUGUACCAUAUGAAUAAGGAUCGGCUAACUCCGUGCCAGCAGCCGCGGUACUACGGAGGAUCCGAGCGUUAUCCGGAUUGACUGGGUGUAAAGAGGUGCGUAGGUGGCAUAAUAAGUAGCUAGUGAAACCUGGUGGCUCAACCAUUCAGACUAUUAGCUAAACUGUUAAGCUCGAGACCGUUAGGGGUAACUGGAAUUUCUAGUGUAGGAGUGAAAUCCGUAGAUAUUAGAAGGAACACCAAUAGCGAAGGCAGGUUACUGGGACGGUUCUGACGCUAAGGCACGAAAGCGUAGGGAGCGAACGGGAUUAGAUACCCCUGUAGUC
rnacentral:rRNA from 1 species